AUGUUUUAUCUUAUAUGGAUCUUAACUCCUGAAAUUUUUUCUGAGAAUCUUGACAAAGAGAAGUACAAGCAAGUAGAUCAUUCGAAGUCAUCUUUAUUUUUUCUUAAACCCUACCAAACCCAAAACUCAGUUUCUGAUUUUCAUAUGUUUUGACUUUAUCCUAAUCCAUGUGGCGUGGAAUGGACCUAAAAGCACACCAAACUAAUUCGUAUGUAUGCUAUAGAAAAGUAAUUUACCAUA
rnacentral:sRNA from 1 species